AGAAGCUACAGGACUACCUCUUUUUUUACUUCCACCCCUACCAGUAACUUUUCUACACGCUCUUUUAGCAGCAUUAAACAUAUUGUAAAAAUUUAAAUAUAAUCAAAUAUGCAAUUAAAAUAUUAAAUAAGAGAAAGAGUUAGAGGGAGUGCACCGAAUUUGACAAUAAAUUGACCACUUGAUUACGCAAAUCCGGUGUUACCACGAAUAAACUUCAAGCAAGUAUUUCAAUUUUGAACUUCAAGCUUCAAAUUCCGAAUGACAAAUUGGAUAAAUUAAAUUCGGGAAAAGAGUAACAAAUGAAAUAUGUAAUCUUGCAAAUUGAAGGGAAGAGAUAGACUGAUAAUUUGAGAAUUGAGAUUGAGAUAAGAUUUUUGAGUGAAGAAAUGAAGAAGAGAUGAGGGGUAUUUAUAGAUUU
rnacentral:lncRNA from 1 species